rnacentral:rRNA from 1 species
GACGAACGCUGGCGGCGUGCUUAACACAUGCAAGUCGAACGGAAAGGCCCUGCUUUUGUGGGGUGCUCGAGUGGCGAACGGGUGAGUAACACGUGAGUAACCUGCCCUUGACUUUGGGAUAACUUCAGGAAACUGGGGCUAAUACCGGAUAGGAGCUCCUGCUGCAUGGUGGGGGUUGGAAAGUUUCGGCGGUUGUGGAUGGACUCGCGGCUUAUCAGCUUGUUGGUGGGGUAGUGGCUUACCAAGGCUUUGACGGGUAGCCGGCCUGAGAGGGUGACCGGCCACCAUGGGACUGAGAUACGCCCCAGACUCCUACGGGAGGCGGCAGUGGGGAAUAUUGCACAAUGGGCGGAAGCCUGAUGCAGCAACGCCGCGUGCGGGAUGACGGCCUUCGGGUUGUAAACCGCUUUCGCCUGUGACGAAGCGUGAGUGACGGUAAUGGGUAAAGAAGCACCGGCUAACUACGUG